AGCAAUUUUUUCUUCUUUAUUUUUGUUAAAUAAGAUUCCAGAAAGUAUAGUGCAAACACUCAGUAGAAAAGUUGCAAUUAAGAAAUGUACAUUCACAUUUAACAUUUCAGUCCAUUCACUGGUUUUUGCUUUUUAAAUAAAAAUAGGACAAAUUAUUCAAUUACUUGUCUCAAUUUAACAAUCUUGGAAAAGACUGGAAGGUGCUCUACAGUGUUCAGUUGACGUAAAAAUAGACCCGUAUUGAUUAUACAAAUCUAUCACGAGAGGUUCCCCAGUGAUAUUGAGUUGGUGUCCUUCUGGAACAGACAUCUGGUUUCCGCGUCUAAAGAAGCACUCUCAGCAAGGUCUACUGAUGGGAGAACGUGUCACCCAGGCCCACUCUGUGCUCCCAGGCGGGACACGGAGGGACACAGGGGUUCACACAAACCCUUCUCAGACAAUCAAGAAAGUCCAAGCGGGGGCUUUGGGUUUACCUUAAAUGAGAGAUGGUUGUAAUUGUUACAUUAUCUCUGCUUGUGCAAGGCGGUGUGCAAUCAGUGUGAAGGAGAGAUGGAGGAAGGGGGCGGGGCUCUGCAGGUGUGCAGGAGAUGCAAGGCUCAGGGUCCAGGAUCCGCCGUGGCGGGACGCUCUGCGGCCAGCCGGCAGACGACCCGUGGUGGCCUGGGCCUGUCCCUUUGCACAUGCUGCAUGUGUUGGAAUCCAAACGAAGUUUCACACACUUGGGAAUCUCACAGCAUGCGAUGCUGAGUGCGUGUGGCUUGCGGGGCCGCAGUUUCCAACGGGGAGAAAGGCAGGACUGCAAGCCUCUCUGGGGCUGAUGCCCGGGGAGCGCCCUACGGGCAGGUGCAAGAGGCCGUGGAGGCUUCCUCGGGACUCCCGGAACGUGGGAGUGGUCCCCUGAGACUGAGAUCUGCCCUGGGUGUCCUCCUGUCCCCAGGAAGGGACACUACACCACGUGAUGAGGACAUUGGCCGGCUCUGGCCAGGAGUUGGGGGCUGGCUUGGCUCCUUGUGAGGGGAGAGGCGUGUGCAGCUUGGGGGUUCCAGGGGGCCUGGCUCUCCCCCUGGCUGAUGUCAGAGAGGCCUUACAGGAAGAGACAGGACGACUGUGCUCCUGGCCGAGGGAGAGGCUGUUUACUAAGACACGAUGGCAGGUGGUACUGCGGACAUGGCUUCAGGACAGAAAGUGUAACAAGACAGGGCGAGGUGGGCUCCUUUGGGCCCCCACUGUGUCUCUGCUGGGGAUCAGCUGUUCAAGCAGAGGCAGGGCUCAGCCGCGAGCACAUGCCCUGUUCUCAUCUCGCCACGUGAGGCCUGGGUGAGGAUGACCUUGUGCCUGGGCACAUCCCUGGAUGGGCUGUGGGGCAAGCCCCCGGCCUGAGGACCCACCUGGCUGCUCAGAACCAACCUGCCAGGCACCCCCGCCACUUGUGCGUGCACGGGCUAAGGGCUCCAUCAACACCAACACUUCACUGAGUUCAUGGCUAGCUACGAGGCGCCCAAGAGAACGGACACCCAGGGGCUUGGGAUGGAUGGGACCCGGAUGCCUCCUGGUCCUGCGCUCAGUGCUGUGCAACUUUGUCCAAGUCUGUCACCUCUCUGAGCCUCUGAUUCCUCACGGACAACGUGGGGCGUGUAAGCAGGCCUCCCUCUGCAGACUGUCUGGAGGAGAGCGGGCUCGAGGCCGGGAAGGCGCUCCUUGCGGUCACAGGCAAAGCCCAUCAGAGUCAUCUGCUCACCGAAGCCCCCACGGGCCUCCCCUGCGCGU
rnacentral:lncRNA from 1 species